UGAGCAAUCUGCCCUUCUCAUCGGAAUAGGCGUUGGAAACGACGUCUAAUGCCGAAUACGACCUCCUUUCGCAUGAUCGGAGGUGGAAAGCUCCGGCGGAGAAGGAUGAGCUCGCGGCCUAUCAGCUAGUUGGUGUGGGUAAUGGCCCACCAAGGCGACGACGGGUAGCCGGCCUGAGAGGGUGACCGGCCACACUGGGACUGAGACACGGCCCAGACUCCUACGGGAGCAG
rnacentral:rRNA from 1 species